GACGAACGCUGGCGGCGUGCUUAACACAUGCAAGUCGAACGGAAAGGCCCUGCUUUUGUGGGGUUCUCGAGUGGCGAACGGGUGAGUAACACGUGAGUAACCUGCCCUUGACUUUGGGAUAACUUCAGGAAACUGGGGCUAAUACCGGAUAGGAGCUCCUGCUGCAUGGUGGGGGUUGGAAAGUUUCGGCGGUUGGGGAUGGGCUCGCGGCUUAUCCGCUUGUUGGUGGGGUAGUGGCUUACGAAGGCUUUGACGGGUAGCCGGCCUGAGAGGGUGACCGGCCACAUUGGGACUGAGAUACGGCCCAGACUCCUACGGGAGGCAGCAGUGGGGAAUAUGGCACAAUGGGCGGAAGCCUGAUGCAGCAACGCCGCGUGCGGGAUGACGGCCUUCGGGUUGUAAACCGCUUUCGCCUGUGACGAAGCGUGAGUGACGGUAAUGGGUAAAGAAGCACCGGCUAACUACGUG
rnacentral:rRNA from 1 species